rnacentral:rRNA from 1 species
AACGAACGCUGGCGGCGUGCUUAACACAUGCAAGUCGAACGCGAAAGUUUUCUUCGGAGAGCGAGUAGAGUGGCGCACGGGUGAGUAACGCGUAAAUAAUCUACCCUGAUGUCUGGGAUAACCCUUCGAAAGGGGGACUAAUACCGGCUAUAUGAUUAUCUGUUGGGAUAAUCAGGAAAGGUGGCCUCUAUUUAUAAGCUAUCGCAUUGGGACGAGUUUGCGUACCAUUAAGCUARUUGGUGGGGUAAUGGCCCACCAAGGCGACSAUGGUUACGGGUCUGAAAAGAUGAUCCGUCACACUGGCACUGGAACACGGGCCARACUCCUACCGGAGGCAACAGUGAAGAAUAUUGCGCAAUGGGGAAACCCUGACGCAGCGACGCCGCGUGAGUGAGGAAGGCCUUCGGGGUCGUAAAGCUCUGUCAGAUGGGAAGAAAUGCAUAUUAGUUAAUCCCUAUUAUGUUUGACGGGUACCAUCAGAGGAAGCACCGGGUAACUCCGUGCCAGCAGCCYCGGUAAUACGGAGGGUGCGAGCGUUGUUCGGAAUCAYUGGGCGUAAAGGGCGCGCAGGCGGUUUGUUUAGUCAGAUGUGAAAGCCCACGGCUUAGCCGUGGAAGUGCAUUUGAAACUGGCAGACUUGAGUAUCAGAGGGGAAGGUGGAAUUCCCGGUGUAGAGGUGAAAUUGGGUAGAUAUSGGGAGGAAUACCGGUGGCGAAGGCGACUUUCUGGSUGAAUACUGACGMUGAGGCGCGAAAGCGUGGGGAGCAAACAGGAUUAGAUACCCUGGUAGUCCACGCCGUAAACGAUGUGAACUAGAUGUUGGAGGUAUUGAUCCCUUCGGUGUCGGAGCUAACGCAUUAAGUUCACCGCCUGGGGAGUACGGUCGCAAGAUUAAAACUCAAAGGAAUUGACGGGGGCCCGCACAAGCGGUGGAGUAUGUGGUUUAAUUCGAUGCAACGCGAAGAACCUUACCUGGCCUUGACAUCCCGAGGAUCUCCUGGAAACAGGAGAGUACUUUCAUUAGAGAGAACUUGGUGACAGGUGCUGCAUGGCUGUCGUCAGUUCGUGUCGUAAGAUGUUGGGUUAAGUCCCGCAACGAGCGCAACCCUCGCCUUUAGUUGCCAGCAGUUCGGCUGGGCACUCUAGAGGGACUGCCGGUGUUAAACCGGAGGAAGGUGGGGAUGACGUCAAGUCCUCAUGGCCUUUAUGGCCAGGGCUACACACGUACUACAAUGGUCGAUACAAAGGGCAGCGAACUUGCGAGAGUAAGCGAAUCCCGUAAAGUCGGUCUCAGUCCGGAUUGGAGUCUGCAACUCGACUCCAUGAAGUUGGAAUCGCUAGUAAUCGUGGAUCAGCAUGCCACGGUGAAUACGUUCCCGGGCCUUGUACACACCGCCCGUCACACCACGGGAGUUGGUUGUUCCAGAAGCAGUUGAGCUAACCUUUUAGGAAGCAGGCUGCCAAGGAAUGGCUGGUAACUGGGGUGAAGUCGUAACAAGGUAGCCCUAGGGGAACCUG